CCUACGGGAGGCUGCAGUGGGGAAUAUUGGACAAUGGGGGGAACCCUGAUCCAGCCAUGCCGCGUGUGUGAAGAAGGCCCUCGGGUUGUAAAGCACUUUCAGUGAGGAAGAACGCCUGGUGGUUAAUACCCAUCAGGAAAGACAUCACUCACAGAAGAAGCACCGGCUAACUCCGUGCCAGCAGCCGCGGUAAUACGGAGGGUGCGAGCGUUAAUCGGAAUUACUGGGCGUAAAGCGCGCGUAGGUGGCUUGAUAAGCCGGUUGUGAAAGCCCCGGGCUCAACCUGGGAACGGCAUCCGGAACUGUCAAGCUAGAGUGCAGGAGAGGAAGGUAGAAUUCCCGGUGUAGCGGUGAAAUGCGUAGAGAUCGGGAGGAAUACCAGUGGCGAAGGCGGCCUUCUGGACUGACACUGACACUGAGGUGCGAAAGCGUGGGUAGCAAACAGGAUUAGAUACCCGGGUAGUA
rnacentral:rRNA from 1 species